AUUGAACGCUGGCGGCAGGCCUAACACAUGCAAGUCGAACGAGUGGCGGACGGGUGAGUAAUGUCUGGGAACCUGCCUGAUGGAGGGGGAUAACUCCUGGAAACGGUCGCUAAUACCCCCUACCCUCCGAUGUGCCCAGAUGGGAUUAGCUAGUUGGGGGGGUAACGGCUCACCAAGGCGACGAUCCCUAGCGGGUCUGCGAGGAUGACCAGCAAAACUGGAACGGAGACACGGGCCAGACUCCGACGGGAGGCAGCAGUGGGGAAUAUUGCACAAUGGGCGCAAGCCUGAGGCAGCCAUGCCGCGUGUAUGAAGAAGGCCUUAGGGUUGGAAAGUACUUUCAGCGGGGAGGCGUUACUCGCAGAAGAAGCACCGGCUAACUCCGUGCCAGCAGCAGCGGUAAUAC
rnacentral:rRNA from 1 species